UACGUAGGGUGCAAGCGUUAAUCGGAAUUACUGGGCGUAAAGCGUGCGCAGGCGGUUUUGUAAGUCUGAUGUGAAAUCCCCGGGCUCAACCUGGGAAUUGCAUUGGAGACUGCAAGGCUAGAGUGUGUCAGAGGGGGGUAGAAUUCCACGUGUAGCAGUGAAAUGCGUAGAUAUGUGGAGGAACACCGAUGGCGAAGGCAGCCCCCUGGGAUAACACUGACG
rnacentral:rRNA from 1 species